GACGUAGGGCGCGAGCGUUGUCCGGAUUUAUUGGGCGUAAAGAGCUCGUAGGCGGCUUGUCGCGUCGACCGUGAAAACUCGCAGCUCAACUGCGAGCCUGCGGUCGAUACGGGCAGGCUAGAGUUCGGUAGGGGAGACUGGAAUUCCUGGUGUAGCGGUGAAAUGCGCAGAUAUCGAGAGGAACACCUGCGGCGAAGGCGGGUUGCUGGGCUGACACUGACGCUGAUGCGCGAAAGCUAGGGGAGCGAACGGG
rnacentral:rRNA from 1 species